AUUGUGAAUAACAUGGGUUUAUGAGAUUUACAAAUCACUGCAUUCUUUUUAUUUACAUUUUACAGGGUGUCCCAACAUUUUUGGAAUUGGGGUUGUAAAACAUCAGAGCGCUUCAUGAGUGAGGUGUAACUUUGUGAUUUUUGUAAUCUAAGUAGGGUUUUGUUUGUUUGUUUGUUUGUUUGUUUGUUUGUUUGUUUUAACAGUUUCCAGUUUUUAAAAUCUGUCUUUUUGUGAGUGUGGAAGUGGCAGUGCUGGUUUGAUUAGCAGGUAUACUGAGCAGGGGGUUAGGGAUUUACUCCCCUUUCCAAAACCUUGGUUACACUGCAGAAUUAGCUGCUGAAAGAAUGCACACGGAUGGAACGGCUGUGCGUCCUGGGGGCCGGAGCUUAAGCACAGGCCGAGUGGCAGGAUUACGGAGGAAAUGAGAGGACAGAGCAGGGGACCUAAAGUCAGGAGGGCACGACGGCUCCAGACGUCUCCUGUAGCUUUGAAGCCAGUGCAAUCAGUUUAAAGAACAAAAGCAACAGUUGCUGUAGAAGCACUUGAGUCUCAAAAUGCUAAAGACAUGGGUGAAAGAAACGCUUGGUCCCAUCUGCAUUAUAAAAGGAUGAAAGGUUGACAAUCAC
ensembl:lncRNA